UUAAGUUAAUAAGGGCGCACGGUGGAUGCCUUGGCACUAGAAGCCGAUGAAGGACGUGACUAACGACGAAAUGCUUUGGGGAGCUGUAAGUGAGCAAUGAUCCAGAGAUGUCCGAAUGGGGGAACCCGGCAGGUAAUGCCUGUCACUCAUUACUGUUAAGGUAAUGUAGAGGAAGACGCAGUGAACUGAAACAUCUAAGUAGCUGCAGGAAGAGAAAGCAAAAGCGAUUGCCUUAGUAGCGGCGAGCGAAACGGCAAGAGGGCAAACCGAAGAGUUUACUCUUCGGGGUUGUAGGACUGCAACGUGGACUUAAAGAUUAUAGAAGAACUACCUGGGAAGGUAGGCCAAAGAGAGUAAUAGCCUCGUAUUCGAAAUAGUCUUUAUACCUAGCAGUAUCCUGAGUACGGCGAGACACGAGAAAUCUCGUCGGAAUCUGGGAGGACCAUCUCCCAACCCUAAAUACUCUCUAGUGACCGAUAGUGAACCAGUACCGUGAGGGAAAGGUGAAAAGCACCCCGGGAGGGGAGUGAAAUAGAACCUGAAACCGUGUGCCUACAACAAGUUCGAGCCCGUUAAUGGGUGAGAGCGUGCCUUUUGUAGAAUGAACCGGCGAGUUACGAUAUGAUGCGAGGUUAAGUUGAAGAGACGGAGCCGUAGGGAAACCGAGUCUUAAUAGGGCGCAUUAGUAUCAUGUCGUAGACCCGAAACCAUGUGACCUACCCAUGAGCAGGUUGAAGGUGAGGUAAAACUCACUGGAGGACCGAACCAGGGCACGUUGAAAAGUGCUUGGAUGACUUGUGGGUAGCGGAGAAAUUCCAAACGAACUUGGAGAUAGCUGGUUCUCUCCGAAAUAGCUUUAGGGCUAGCGUCGAUGUUAAGUCUCUUGGAGGUAGAGCACUGUUUGGGUGAGGGGUCCAUCCCGGAUUACCAAUCUCAGAUAAACUCCGAAUGCCAACGAGAUAUAAUCGGCAGUCAGACUGCGAGUGCUAAGAUCCGUAGUCGAAAGGGAAACAGCCCAGACCACCAGCUAAGGUCCCAAAAUAUAUGUUAAGUGGAAAAGGAUGUGGGGUUGCACAGACAACUAGGAUGUUAGCUUAGAAGCAGCUAUUCAUUCAAAGAGUGCGUAAUAGCUCACUAGUCGAGUGACCCUGCGCCGAAAAUGUACCGGGGCUAAAACAUAUUACCGAAGCUGUGGAUACCUUUAUAGGUAUGGUAGGAGAGCGUUCUAUGUGCGAAGAAGGUGUACCGUGAGGAGUGCUGGAGCGCAUAGAAGUGAGAAUGCCGGUAUGAGUAGCGAAAGACAGGUGAGAAUCCUGUCCACCGUAAGACUAAGGUUUCCAGGGGAAGGCUCGUCCGCCCUGGGUUAGUCGGGACCUAAGGAGAGACCGAAAGGUGUAUCCGAUGGACAACAGGUUGAUAUUCCUGUACUAGAGUAUAUAGUGAUGGAGGGACGCAGUAGGCUAACUAAACCAGACGAUUGGAAGUGUCUGGCCAAGCAGUGAGGUGUGAUAUGAGUCAAAUGCUUAUAUCUAUAACAUUGAGCUGUGAUGGGGAGCGAAGUUUAGUAGCGAAGUUAGUGAUGUCACACUGCCGAGAAAAACUUCUAGCGUUAAUUAUACUCUACCCGUACCGCAAACCGACACAGGUAGUCGAGGCGAGUAGCCUCAGGUGAGCGAGAGAACUCUCGUUAAGGAACUCGGCAAAAUGGCCCCGUAACUUCGGGAGAAGGGGCGCUGACUUAUGGUCAGCCGCAGUGAAUAGGCCCAAGCAACUGUUUAUCAAAAACACAGCUCUCUGCUAAAUCGUAAGAUGAUGUAUAGGGGGUGACGCCUGCCCGGUGCUGGAAGGUUAAGAGGAGUGCUUAGCAAUAGCGAAGGUAUGAAUUGAAGCCCCAGUAAACGGCGGCCGUAACUAUAACGGUCCUAAGGUAGCGAAAUUCCUUGUCGGGUAAGUUCC
rnacentral:rRNA from 1 species